rnacentral:tRNA from 1 species
GAGGGUAUAGCUUAGUGGUAGAGUGUACGCUUAGCAUGCAUGAGGUCCUGGGUUCAACCCUAAAUACCUCCA